rnacentral:lncRNA from 1 species
CGUUCUUCUUCUCUCUUCCUAUUUUUUUCUUCUACUGUGAAAGCUUCUUCUUUCCCCAUUCUUUCCUUCAAUUCCCCCUUUUCCAUAGAUCCGUUCUAACAUUCAAUUAAUUGCUCGAGUUGGUGCUGCAUCAAAUUUGGUAUCAGAGCCAAAAAUUGGAUAUUUCCUCAUACAAUCCAAAAUUUUCUUCCCAAAAUUUGUUACAAUAGCACAAUUGAAAAAGAUUUAGCG